UAUAAGCUGCGGGGAGUUGUCAGACGAAUUUUGAUCCGCAGAUUUCUGAAUGGGGAAACCCAAUCAAUUUAUUGAUUAUUGCAUAUUGAAUACAUAGAUAUGCAAGGCAAACCUGGUGAACUGAAAUAUCUCAGUAGCUAGAGGAAAGGAAAUCAAAAGAGACUCCGUUAGUAGUGACGAGCGAACACGGACCAGGCCAGUGGUUUAUAAUUAAAAAUUAGAAUACUUUGGAAAGAGUAGCCAUAGAUGGUGAUAGCCCAGUAUAAGUAAAAAAAUUAUAAAUCCUUGAGUAGGACGGGACACGUGGAAUCCUGUUUGAAGAUGGGGGGACCAUCCUCCAAGCCUAAGUACUCCUUAACGACCGAUAGUGGACAAGUACCGUGAGGGAAAGGUGAAAAGAACCCCGGGAGGGGAGUGAAAUAGACCCUGAAAUCGAAUGCUUACAACCAGUUGGAGCCUUAUACUUAUAUUUGUGAGUAAUCACAACCUAUAUUUAUUA
rnacentral:rRNA from 1 species